GAGACUUUUACUUUCCUCAAUAUUUUGCGCGAACUCUGACCAAUACUUUUCUCUUACUUCCCUUCUUUUCUCCCCACACAUCUUUGAUAUGUUAAGUAGUAUGUCCUUAUCUUCUUCCCGCCUGCCUCUCUUAGCCCAUUCCCUGUGUGCCAUCCUUAACAUUUGUGUCCACCCUUUAAGUGUCUUAUCACUGCAGUAUCUGUUUUUCCGUGCUCCGUGUUUCUUCUCCUUUCUGUGUGACUUAGCCUUUGUAGGUAAACAUCUUUCUAUCGCACUUAACAAAUCCUCGCUGAACCUAUCUAAACUUAGGGGUGUGUAAUCUCUGUACCAGCCCUCCAUAUUGUAAAUAAACAAUUCUCUGUC
rnacentral:lncRNA from 1 species